CCAAUAGCGUAUAUUAAAGUUGUUGCAGUUAAAAAGCUCGUAGUUGAAUUUCGGGAUCAACUUGUCGGUCGUGCCUCGGUACGUACUGGUAUUAUUGGUUCCUACCUUCUGACGAACCGCGAUGUCAUUAAUUUGGUGUCGUGGGGAAUCAGGACUGUUACUUUGAAAAAAUUAGAGUGUUUAAAGCAGGCUUACGCUUGAAUACAUUAGCAUGGAAUAAUGAAAUAGGACGUUUGAUUCUAUUUUGUUGGUUUCUAGGACCGACGUAAUGAUUAAUAGGGAUAGUUGGGGGCAUUAGUAUUCAAUUGUCAGAGGUGAAAUUCUUGGAUUUAUUGAAGACUAACUACUGCGAAAGCAUUUGCCAAGGAUGUUUUCAUUAAUCAAGAACGAAAGUUAGGGGAUCGAAGACGAUCAGAUACCGUCGUAGUCUUAACCAUAAACUAUGCCGACUAGGGAUCGGAUGAUGUUAAUUUUUUAAUGACUCAUUCGGCGCCUUACG
rnacentral:rRNA from 1 species